CUUAAUAUGAAAAAGUUGCUCAAUGAAUAAGUUCAUCACAGUUAGGCUUAGGCCUGCAAAUAAAAAGAACUUGUACAAGAGUCAUCCAUUUACAGCAUGAACAAAAGUCUUUCCAGUAAACAGAUGGGUAUUGACAAUGCCCCAAAACUGUGGUAUCAUCGAGUCGGAUAUGCAAUGGCAGUCCCACAAAGAAAAUACAUAUUGUAACUAUUGAUCCAUUCCAGGAUUGCUCUGCAGUACGUCCUUGAGUGUGAACAAUAACAUGGUAAAGAAGAACUCGCCAAAUAACAAAUUAUGAAAACCUUUUUUUAAUUCUUAAGAUUUAACACACCAUAAAGUUUCUAACAUUAAUAUCUACGGUAGCGCAACGCCAGAUUACAAUAGCACCAGUCAACAAGAUUUCAAAGCAAUGACUUUUCAUACGUUCUAUGCACCUAAAAAUCAUUUCUUUACUGUCAACUACCUCUUAGCCCGCAUAAAAUCCUCUACCAGCUCUUAUCAAAAGUAGGACUUAGCCCACAAUCGUCUGUUAUUGGUUGGAUCGCAAACAGCUAACCAAGUUGGCUCCAACGUGCAUAAGGAGCAAAGGCGGCUGCUCACAAUCUUGAAAAAAAUUCCAGAGGUUUAUUCCUCUAACAUCAAUCAAGCAUUUAAUGGCUCUGCUUCCAUCUCUUUCAUUGCUGUCCAAUCUUGUGAUCUCGGUUUUUGACUUUCCGCAAUAACCAGAAGCCGCCUCUGCAAAAGGGAUGCCACACAGAGGAAAAUGGAGCACAUGCCAAACAUGACAAUAAUAGGAAACGCAUCAACAUUGUACAACACAACACAAACAAAUAUGUUGAGAGGAAUGCGGAAGAAAUUCAUGAUGGUGCUUCUAGCCUCCUCAGGAAUAUAUUGGGAUCUCAUCUUCAUAAUAGAUGGCCAGAAAAUACCCACACAUGACUCAAAAGUGCAGAAGCCAAGAAGCUGGAUAGACCCUGAAAAUGAGAUGCUUCCACCUUUCUCUCCAGUUGGAACUAUCAAGAAACUUGCUAUAACAGGAAGCAGAAGGGACGCAGCAGAUAUUACAAAAACAAUCUGCAUAUAGCUCUCAACUUUGGGGGAUGAGCGAGCCAGCAGUCGAGAUGCAAUGGAGCUUCCCAACAUUGAAGCCAGCAUGAAUGUUGCAAAAAUGAAACCAUGAGGAAUGUCCUCACCGUUUGGGCUUAGAGCAGGAGUCCAAAGGAACACAAAGGUGUACAUUGAACCUUCGAAUAGGGACUGUAUGGCACCCAACAAUGCAAUUUUCUCAUCAGAAGCAAUAGCAACAGCAGCGCCCUUGAAUUGGGUAAGUAAGUCCUUGUUUUCUGAAGUGUCUCCAUAAUUUUCAGCCCAUGUUGACACUAUGAUAGCCAUACCAAUUGCAAGAAAGCAAGCAGCAGCAUCAAAUGGAGAAACAGGACCAAGGCCCAAGUUAUCCACUAGUAGAUUACCGAACAACCCAGACAUAAUGGCAACUAAACCAUUGCCAAGAAAUAUUGCUUUUGAGAAUGUCAUUGACAACCAUUGUUGGUCAAAACCCCUUUGCAAAAUUCAAAGGGAGCAAUGAGAUAUAAAGCGUACUUAAAAUGUCAAAGUAGACUUCAUGGGUCUUAAGAGCCGAUUACUGAAAGCAAUUCACAGGCAAAUAUAAUUCCUACAGUGAAACAUUUUUCAAUCCUAACACGUUCUAAGUAUUAAUCAUAGGCUUACAAUCAGGGAUAAGAGAAGCACCAAGACCCUUCAAGUGAUAACCUCCACCUACUAAAUGUAAAAUAGCAGCAUUGAAGCAUUAUCCCACAAUUUACAUAAUUCACUCAAGUCUCUAACCCAAAACCUUUAAACAAUUAACAGGACAGAAUUCAAUUUAAGAUGUACAUUAUUAAACCCUACCAUCAAUUAAAGCUAAACAGUUCAACUCAUCACACACCUUAAAGUGUUCUGCAACAAGCCAAGACUCAAAUGCUGAAAAAAGUAGAGAAGUGGCAAUGCCUCCCAAUACACGUCCCAACAUUAAGACUUUGUACUCAGGAGAAUGCUUGGUGAUGCAGCUCAGAAUGUAAGUUAUGCAGUAAGUAACACAUGCUCUCCUUCGACCCUGCUUAUCAGCAAGAGAACCAACAAUUGUCCCAAAUAGCAUAGAAGAUCCAAAGCCAGCAAUAAAGAGCUGGCCUAUCUCUCCCUUUCCAAACCCAUACUGACUGUACAAGUAGUACACAUAUGGACCCUGCAACCAAUCCCCAGCCAUCAUGAGGGAAUAAACAACUAGGUAAUUGUUCUUGAAGGCAUUGAAAGCAGGAGAUGUAUUAAUACGAUCUCUGUUUGCUUUGCUGAGCUCAAGCGCUGCCACCACGGCCGCUAGGCAACCAAAUACCAUGAAGUAGAAAAUCUCCAUUGUUCAAUAUCUUCCUCUUUGGAGAUCGAUUUGCAAGAGAUAAAUUGAGAGAGUGUAGGAGAUAAACAACUAGGAUUGGAUGUUAAAAAGAGGCCGCCUUUGAACCCCAAAUCAUCAUUUCUUUCUCAGUGGUUUGGACGGUUUAAAACUGACGAAACUCC
rnacentral:misc_RNA from 1 species